rnacentral:rRNA from 1 species
AUGGAUGGUUCGCCUGCCGCCAAGUCCGUCUUGCUCCUCAUGGCAGCAGCGGCAACCUGGAUCAGCUUAUUCCUUGUCGCCUACGCGUUCGCCGGCGCCGUGACCUGCAUACGGCGCGAGCGGGACGCGCUGCUGGCAUUCAAGCAAGGCAUCAACGACACCGGCGAUGAACUCGGGUCGUGGCAGCGAGGGCGCCAAGAUUGCUGCCGAUGGGCAGGCAUCACCUGCAGCAACGUGACUGGCCGUGUCAUCGGGCUUGACCUUAGCCGGAGGUUUUCUUUGGUCGGCCAGAUAAGUCCUUCCUUGCUUUCUCUAGAGCAUCUCGAGUAUCUCAAUCUCUGUGUGGGCAUGAUGGACGUAUUCCAGAGUUCUUGGGUUCUUUAAAGAACUUGAGACAUCUCGAUCUCUCCUACAUAUAUUGCUCCGAUACAGUGCCUCCUCAGCUUGGCAACCUUUCAAAGCUGGAAUAUCUCGACAUCUCCAACAUGGAGAUGGACUUGAUAGACAUCUCAUGGUUAGCCCGUUUACCUAGGUUGAUGUAUCUUGACAUUAGUUCUAUGAAUCUCAGCUCAAUAGCUGAUUGGCCUCUUGCGGUGAACAUGAUUCCUUCUUUGAAAGACCUCCGCCUUUCUUACUGCUCACUUUCCAGUACAAACCAAUCCCUCACACACCUAAACCUCACAAAUCUUCAGCACCUUGAUCUCUCGCUUAACUACUUUGGUCAUCCAAUUGCGUCCAGUUGGUUUUGGAACGUAACAAGCAUCGAGUACCUCGACCUUUCUCAUACCUCCCUGCAUGGUCCAUUUCCUAAUGCGCUAGGAAACAUGACGUUUCUCCGCCAGCUAAACUUUUAUCACCACUCUUUUGGAACUGGAAACACAGCCACAAUGACAGUAGAUUUGAAAAAUCUAUGUGAUUUGGAAAUGAUAUGGCUUGAUGGGAGUCUCUCCUCUGGAAAUAUAACAGAGUUUAUGGAGAAAUUGCCACGCUGCCCGUCAAACAAAUUGCAAGAAUUGAAGCUGAGCAGCAACAAUAUGGUUGGCAUGCUGCCAAACAGAAUGGGCCACUUAACAAACUUAUCUAGUCUCGACCUGUCCUACAAUAACAUUACUGGAGCUAUACCGCCAUGGUUGGAAAAUUGCACUAGUUUGUCAUAUCUUUCUCUUUCCAGCAAUAGUCUCACUGGACCUAUACCAGUAGGGAUAGGGAGUUGCACUAUAUUAGACAUCCUCGACCUUUCUUACAAUGAUAUUACUGGAGCUAUACCACUAGGCAUAGGGAAUUUCACUACAUUGAGGUACCUUGUUCUUUCUCACAACCUUUUGAGUGGACAUGUGCCUUCUAAGAUUGGUAUGCUUGGUGAUUUGAUUGACCUUGACCUUAGCAACAAUAACCUGGAUGGCCUGAUCACGAGGGAACACAUGGUUUCUCUGAAGAACUUAAGGCACAUGGAUUUAUCGCAUAAUUCUUUCUCAGGACCUCUUCCGAUAGAAACUGGAGCUCAAUUUUUACUAGAAUUGUCUUUGUCCUCCAAUUACUUCAGUGGUCAUAUUCCUGGAUCUAUAUGUCAGUUGCGGAACCUACUUGUCUUGGAUCUAUCAGACAACUUUUUAGAGGGAGAACUUCCUCAGUGUUCUCACGGGCCUAACUUGGUUUUCCUCCUCUUAAGUAACAACGGCUUUUCUGGCAAGUUCCCAUCAUCACUUCGAAACUACUCGAGUUUGGCUUUCAUGGAUCUUUCAAGGAACAAUUUGUAUGGGACAUUGCCGUUGUGGAUUGAAGAAUUGGUACAGUUGCGCUUUUUGCAACUAAGCCACAACUUGUUGUAUGGAGAUAUUCCGAUGACUAUCACCAAUCUUCAACACCUUCAUCAAUUGAGUUUAGCUGGAAAUAAUAUAUCUGGAGUUAUACCUGAGUCUUUGUCAAAUUUAACAUCAAUGGCCCAAAAAGAUCCAGAGAACUCCGAGGACGACAUGUCUGCAUGGUACAACAACAAUGUAGGUCAAUUUAGAGGAGUUUGGCAUGUUGUGAUGAAGCGCCAAGAACUGAAGUAUGGUGCUGGAAUUUUUGAUGUGGUUGGUAUUGACCUAUCACUCAACCACUUAAUUGGAGAGAUUCCAGAAAGGAUAACUUCUCUUGAUGGAUUACUGAAUUUAAACUUAUCAUGGAACCACUUGAGUGGGAAAAUUCCCACGAAGAUUGGGGCUAUGAAAUCAAUCGAAUCACUCGACCUCUCAAGGAACAACCUUUAUGGUGAAAUCCCGGCAAGCUUAUCUGAAUUGACAUUUUUAAGCUCCUUGGACUUAUCAUAUAACAAUCUUACAGGAAGAAUUCCUCCAGGAAGUCAACUUGACACUAUCUACACUGAGAACCCGUCAAUAUACACUGGUAACAUUGGUUUGUGUGGCCCUCCUCUUGAAAGGAAUUGCUCAGGAAACAACUCACUGGAGCAUGUGAAUCAACCGAGAAGGGGCGGUGUUUAUGAGGCAAAGAUGUUCUUUCACUUUGGACUUGGAUCUGGGAGAAAUGGCAAGGCAAGUACAAGUUGAGCGAUAAAGAUGACAAUUAGAUGGUGCUGUCAGCCUAUAGUACAUAGUGGGCCCUAGUAAUAAAUGAAUGUAAACAAGUAUUUAAUUAGAAUCUUGUACUAGUAAGUGUAUUUUGUUCCCGGUGAACUUUUGUCUGAUGCAUGUAAUUAAGUGUUAUUGGUUUGUACUAAAUCAAAAGUCAACAUGUAUACAAAAAUUAAGAUGAGAAUGUAUCCUUGGUGAGUGGAGCAACCUAUCAAUUGCUAUCAAAUUGUCUAAAAUCAAUUGCCAAGUAUCCAGUCCUAUAUGUUGUAAAUUCUAGAAGUUGUUUACGCAAUUUUUUGAUCAUGC